AACGCACCUUGCGCUCCUUGGUAUUCCGAGGAGCAUGCCUGUUUGAGUGUCAUGAAACUCUCCAAUUCUAUCGUUUUUUCUAUAGAAUCUGGGUCCUUGGGUUUGCAUGGGUACCCCAUGCUUACCUUAAAUGUAUUAGCUGAAUACCAGCAGGGUUGUUAAGUUUUUUUCACCCUCGGAAGAAGGUAUUUGCUUCCAAUCUGCGCUGUCUUUUGUAGACAGGCAUUUUGUAUCUUCGGCCUCAAAUCAGGUAGGAUUACCCGCUGAACUUAA
rnacentral:misc_RNA from 1 species